CGCGUAGGUGGCUUGUCAGGUCCGAUGUGAAAUUCUGGGGCUCAACUCCAGGCGUGCAUCGGAAACCGGCUUGCUAGAGUCUGGGAGAGGAGAGUGGAAUUCCUGGUGUAGCGGUGAAAUGCGUAGAUAUCAGGAGGAACACCGGUAGCGAAGGCGGCUCUCUGGAACAGUACUGACACUGAGGCGCGAAAGCUAGGGGAGCGAACA
rnacentral:rRNA from 1 species